rnacentral:rRNA from 1 species
UACGGAGGGUGCGAGCGUUGUUCGGAAUCACUGGGCGUAAAGGGCGUGUAGGCGGUCCGCUAAGUCUGAUGUGAAAGCCCGGGGCUCACCCCCGGAAGUGCAUUGGAAACUGGCGGACUCGAGUCCCGGAGAGGAGAGUGGAAUUCCUGGUGUAGCGGUGAAAUGCGUAGAUAUCUGGAGGAACACCGGUGGCGAAGGCGGCAUCCUGGACCAAUAUUGACGCUGAGGAGCGAAAGCCAGGGGAGCAAACGGG